UGGGGAAUAUUGGACAAUGGGCGAAAGCCUGAUCCAGCCAUGCCGCGUGUGUGAAGAAGGUCUUCGGAUUGUAAAGCACUUUAAGUUGGGAGGAAGGGCAUUAACCUAAUACGUUAGUGUUUUGACGUUACCGACAGAAUAAGCACCGGCUAACUCUGUGCCAGCAGCCGCGGUAAUACAGAGGGUGCAAGCGUUAAUCGGAAUUACUGGGCGUAAAGCGCGCGUAGGUGGUUUGUUAAGUUGGAUGUGAAAUCCCCGGGCUCAACCUGGGAACUGCAUUCAAAACUGACUGACUAGAGUAUGGUAGAGGGUGGUGGAAUUUCCUGUGUAGCGGUGAAAUGCGUAGAUAUAGGAAGGAACACCAGUGGCGAAGGCGACCACCUGGACUAAUACUGACACUGAGGUGCGAAAGCUUGGGGAGCAAACA
rnacentral:rRNA from 1 species